rnacentral:snRNA from 2 species
AGCUUUGUGCAGUGACAGUAUCGUAGCCAAUGAGAUUUAUCUGAGGAGCGAUUAUUGCCAAUUGAAAAAAUAAUUUAUAUACACUAAAGUGUACUAUUUGGGUUUUGUUUGUUUGUUUUUAAG